UACAGAGGAGGCAAGCGUUAUUCGGAAUUAUUGGGCGUAAAGGGCGCGUAGGCGGCCUGGCAAGUGGAAGGUGAAAUCCCUCGGCUUAACCGAGGAACUGCCGUCCAAACUGCUUAGCUUGAGACCGGGAGAGGUGAGUGGAAUUCCCAGUGUAGCGGUGAAAUGCGUAGAUAUUGGGAGGAACACCAGUGGCGAAGGCGGCUCACUGGACCGGUACUGACGCUGAGGCGCGAAAGCGUGGGGAGCAAACGGG
rnacentral:rRNA from 1 species